AGUUAAUGAGCUUGAACAAGCUUAUGUUUUGAAAGCAUAAGAUAGAAACAUUAAAUUUCUAUUAACUU
rnacentral:tRNA from 1 species